rnacentral:lncRNA from 1 species
AAAAGAAAAAAUCAGAAAAGCUGAAAAGGAAGUAAGGUUUAUACCAAUCGAGGGCAUAUGAAACUGUCCAUAAAUCUCUGGGACGACACAUGCAGUGACAAAUGAUGACGAGCGACCUUCGAAUGAACUUUUUAAGCGGCAGACGUUAGGACCACCGAAUCAGGGGAGUCGACUAGUGAUUUCAACACCUUGUCGCCUAGAAAGGGUCAUUCCCAGGUCAUGUAUAGGAAAGAAAUAGCGGCUCGGGCACUUGGUGGUAGUGAGACGGCAGUGGGGGGCUGCUGGCCAGAUUUUGGAGAGGUUGAAGGUUUUGAGGCAUGGAAUGGAGAAUAGGAGAGCGCGAGGAGGCCGGUGGUGUGAAAUUUUCGGAGUUUGGGGUGGUGAGCGGCGGCUAGGGUUUUGGUUAGGCUUAGAUUUACGGAGAUUGAGAGGGGUUAUGGGGAUUUGCGGUUCAGAUUCAUGAAGAGGAGGAGGAGAGGAAGAGAUUAGCAUUGGUUGGAGGGUGUUUGGCCACCGGAGGACAGCGGCGGCAGAGGAAGAAAAAGAGAGGAGAGAGGGUCUAGGGCUUGGGCAUGUAUGAAAAUGAGGCCAAAAAAUCAAAUUUCUAAAAUUAUAUACGUCAAAUGACAUCAAUUCUGGACCAUUGGAUCAAAGAAAAUAGGUGGCCAAGAUUUGAUCUUGAUCACUUAACCAAAAGGACGUAGUUUCAAUCUAAAACUACGUCGUUUAAACCAUCUCCUGGGAGCCCCAAUUGGACCGGAUUAGUAGACUCUUUGGGCUCCUUAUUUUGGGCCAAUUUUGGUUCAAUUUUAAUUAAAAUAUACUAGUCCAAUCCUUUAACCCCUUAAUUAUACUAGGAUAUUAUUUAAUCCUAAAGAAAAUGUACAAGUAGAAAGAAUUUUUUUUGGUAUAUAUAAUUUAAAGAUGAAAAACUAAAAUAUGAAAAUAAAAGGUAAAAAAUUAUUUUUGGUAUUUUUAAUAAAGGAAUGCAAAUAAAAAUUCACAACCAACUAAAAUCAUCCAAAUACUAGUAUUUGUAGGAGAAUUAAAAUCGAGCAAACAUUAGGUACUCACAGCUGCCCCUCUUUGCUCGGGAACAUGAAGAGUUUUUCGUGCAAAGAAAAGUGAAUGUCAUGACUAAUUUUUGCUCACACAUCACUACAAUGAAAGCAUUUUUUUAAAAAAGGUGACCGAGCCUUGCUUUCGAGAUGCCUACAUAUCCUUGGCUAUAAAGGAAUCAGGUCAGUGUAGUUCUAGAAAUAUUUGGUAGAUGGGACUACCAGACACUGGAGUUAAGACUGUUGUUGCUGCUGCUAUUGCUGUUACUGUUACUCGCUUCCUACAUCAAAAGAAAAAGGGAAGAGCACUACAUAUGUCUGCAAACUAAGGGUACAAAAUUCCUAUCUAUGUGUCUUCUGGAGUCAAAUCUUGGUUCUUGACCUGCUCGCUUGUGUUGACCUUAGAUUGGAUCUUGAUUCCUUUUUGAAGAACAAAUUAUGGCUCAUUCUCGAUUACUUGAUUUCCUGAUCAGAAUUUGAGAAGAUGAAUCUUGAGACACCGAGUUGCUGACACCUCAUCGAGACUAACUCCAGCUGUCUUAUGAUCAACAAUCUUCUAUCUUCUAAGGAGAACUGAAAUUGCAAGCUUUAAUCAUCACAACCUGUGCUAUACGGCUGGGCCUGCAAAAUCAUCAAAGACGAACAAAAUGAACAAAAAAUUUCUACCCCAGUUUGGACUAGAAAUUUUUUGUGAGUUAUUGGGUAAAGUUGCAAAUAAGCAUAUUUUAUUUGAAAGAUGAAAAAAAAAUGAUACUGAAAACUUCAAAUCGAAUAUGCUUCUCUUAGGAGUAAAAACUGAUAAAACUUAUACUAAGAGGUGUAUCUCCCAUGGGUGGCAUUGGAAUGACUGCGAGAUUAAAGGACUCGAACUAGGAAUUGCGUCUCCUAGAAUUAAUGAUUCAUAUUAGUAAGUGCAUCUCCUAUUAGAAUGAAUAGAGUUAACUCAAGCUAGGAAAUGUGUCUCCUACGAAUGAGGUUGAAAGGUUUGAACUAGGAAGUGCGUCUCCUAGGAUUUGAUUGUUUAGAUUAGGAAGUGUGUCUCCUAUUGGAAUGAGGUUGCAAGACUUGUACUAGGAAGUGCAUCUCCUAAGAUUUGAUGGUUUAGAUUAGGAAGUGAGUCUCCUAUUGGAAUGACUCAAAUUAGGAAGUAUGUCUCCUAUAAGUGAGCUUAAAGGACUUGGACUAGGAAGUGCAUCUCCUAGGAUUAAUGGUUCAGAGUAGGAAGUGCGUCUCCUAUUGGAAUGACUCAAACUAGGAAGUGCGUCUCCUACGAGUGAGGUUGAAAGUCUUGGACUAGGAAGUGCAUCUCCUAGGAUUGAUUGUUCAAAGUAAGAAGUGCAUCUCCUAUUGGAAUGACUCAAACUAGGAAGUGUGUCUCCUAUGAGUGAGGUUGAAAGGCUUAGACUAGUAAGUGUGUCUCCUAGGAUUGAUGGCUCGAAUUAGGAAGUGUGUCUCCUGCGAAUGAGGUUGCAAGACUUAUACUAGGAAGUGCAUCUCCUAGGAUUUGAUGGUUUAGAUUAGGAAGUGUGUCUCCUAUUGGAAUGACUCAAACUAGGAAGUGUCUUCUAGGAUUGAUGGUUGAAAGGCUUAGACUAGGAAGUGCGUCUCCUAGGAUUGAUGGCUCGGAUUAGGAAGUGUGUUUCCUGUGAAUGAGGUUGCAAGACUUGUACUAGGAAGUGCAUCUCCUAGGAUUUGAUGGUUUAGAUUAGGAAGUACGUCUCCUAUUGGAAUGACUCAAACUAGAAAGUGCGUCUCCUAGGAUUGAUGGUACAAAGUAGGAAGUGCGUCUCAUAUUGGAAUGACUCAAACUAGGAAGUGUGUCUCCUACGAGUGAGGUUGAAAGUCUUGGACUAAGAAGUGCGUCAUCUCCUAGGAUUAAUGGUUUAGAGCAGGAAAUGCGUCUCUUAUUGGAAUGACGCAAACUAGGAAGUGCAUCUCCUAGGAUUGAUGGUAUAGAGUUGGAAGUGCAUCUCAUAUUGGAAUGACUCAAACUAGGAAGUGCAUCUCCUACGAGUGAGGUUGGAAGUCUUGAACUAGGGAGUGUAUCUCCUAGGAUUGAUGGUUCAGAUUACGAAGUGCGUCUCCCAAUAGAAUGACUUAAACUAGGACGUGCGUCUCCUACGAGUGAGGUUGAAGGGCUUGGACUAGGAAGUGCAUCUCCUAGGAUUGAUGGUUCAGAUUGGGAAGUAUGUCUCCCAUUGGAGUAACUCAAACUAGGAAGUGUGUCUCCAAUGAUUGAGGUGGAAAGGCUUGGACUAGGAAGUGUGUCUCCUAGGAUUGAUAGUUUUGAUUAGGAAGUGCGUCUCCUAUUGAAAUAACUCAAACUAGGAAGUGCGUCUCCUACGAGUGAGGUUAAAAGACUUGGACAGAAUGUAACCAGGGAUUGGCGCCCGUAUCACUGAGAAAGAAUAUAACCAGGGGUUGGCGCCCUGUAUCACUAAGAAAUAAUGUAACCAGGGGUUGGUACCCUGUAUCACUAAGAGGGAAUAUAAUCAAGGGUUGGCGCCCUGUAUCAGUAAGAAGGAAUGUAACCAGGGGAUGACGACUUGUAUCACUUAGAGAGAAAGUAACCAGGGCAUAUGAUACCUUGUAUGAAAAUGGAAUCUCACUAAAGAUUGUUGUACCUUAUGGUUUCAGCUAUGGAUUGGUGUAUCCUAUACUAAACAUGCAACUAGGGAGUGGUGUGCUCUAUGUCAAAAUGGAACCUCAACUAAGGACUGAUGUACCUUAUGCUGGAAAAUGCAGUGGUUGAUUAUGUGGUUAUAGGAAUAUCUAGAAAGAAAAAGCACAAACUUUGAAGAAUUUACCUUUGGUGACAUUCGUCCCUUGAGAACUUCAUUUCUACACUACUUUGUUUCCUGCUUCAAACAAAGAAAGAUUUUUGAGUUUUUAAAGUGGUAGUCGAUUUGUGUCGUUGAGGCCCUGAGUAGUUUGAAUUCGCGGCGACCUUGUGAAGAAGAACUGAUUCUUUCAGCGCCGUACUGAGUUGCUCGGAUAAUCUGUAUUGCUUUCUGGAUCAUGGCUUUCUAUCGUUGCCCACGACUGUUUCGUACCCGGAUGUCACACACCCUUUGGCAAUUGUUUUUGUCAAUUUUGAUUAUCUUGCACCCGGUAUCAGUUUAUGUCUGGGAUGCUAUCAAUUUUUCCCGUGAAGCAAGUCUUGCUUAACGACCUUUUCGAUUUCUUCAAAACACUUUGUUCGGCUUAUCAGAGGAAAUCACAGUUGGAUUUGUGCCUUUGUCAAUGUCGUGUAUGCCCCACAUCAUUUGUGUUGCACUUCUGGAAAAUGGUGACCAAUUUUGUGGCCCUUUCUUUGUUGGAUUUCUAAGCAAAUAGACCAACAAAGUUUUCUCUUUGGAACUUCUGUUUGCUUGAACCCUCAGAUCUUGCUUAACUUCAACAACUUAUUGCGCAUGUUGCUCCCUGGGUAUGUCCUCUUUGAUGUGCUAGGAUAGACAGUUAGAAAGCCAGUAAUAGAUUUUGAAAUCAUUUCUUGUUUGUUUUAACAAAGAUUGACUCAAAAUAAUAGUGCAAAUGGACACAAUGAUGCAAUGUAAACAUGAGAAGGAAUAGUAUUUAACUGAAAACGCCGCUUUAGGGGAAAAAAAAGAAUGGAACGUUUUGAAUGUGGUAGCCAACAUUAAUGAUCAUGACAUGCAUUUUGGACUGAGCAGCCAAAUAUAUCCAGCUAAUCCAUCCUUUCUUCUUGUUGUCCCUUUUCAUCUUUGAAGUUAGCCUCUUUGUGCCAAACAAUUGCAUUAAAUCACAGCUCACCUUCGACCAGCAGUGCCCUGAAAGGUUUUCACCAGCCACUCUCUCUCAUUUAUUUAUCUCUACUUACCAUCGCCUUACAGUGCCCAUGAUGGUUUUCACCAAUAAGACUCUCUCAUUUUCAUUCAUUAUCGCUUUUUUUCCUUUUGUGCGAGCAACUUGACACUGUUCUAUGUCGUGUGAAAAUUGUUGCUUAUUGCGUUUUUCCCUUGGCAUUCUUAAAGUCUAUUUGGGAGGUCUUUAUUCAGAAGACUUUUAGAUAGGGUUAGAAAGAAAGGGUCUCAUUAAGGCUCAAAAUAGACUCAAGAAGAUAGGGUUAUAUAUUUACAACUCUUGGAAUCGACUCUUCAUAAAAAUAUAAAAAAAAAAUGCCCCAGUUUUGGAUACUAGGGAAUUUUUAUUUUUUUUUAAUUUGGUUAGACUGAACUAUAGUGUAGAGUUGCCUACGUAUCCUUUAAAGGAAUCAAGUCAAACAUAGUUCAAACUAACACGAAAGAUUUCGUUGUUGUUUUUCUUUUCUUUUCUUUUUUUCAUCAUUCUUUUCUCUUUUCCUUUUUUUAUAUAUAUAAUCAAAAUAUCCUAGCUCCUAUUUUCUAGUGGCAUGGAUCUUCGAUUCUUUGUUUCUUUUAUUUGUAUACUUGAUUCCAAAAGAAGGGGGGAGGUCGAAUAAAAAUAAUACUCGCUUAAAAGGGGUACGAAGGGUAUAAAGUGUUUGGGUAGCAGAAAAAAUAGCCUCCCAACUCAAGAAUGCCAAGCAUACUAUCUCUUCUCAAGGUCGGUAUUGAUGGACAUGACUGUCUUCUUGGUUUUGCCUUGAUGUGAAAUGAUGCACUUCAGUACCAACUAAUCCAUUUUAAAUUCCUUGUAAUGCACCUUCUUUGGAGAUUCGGGUCAUCUUCCUUGAUAUGAUUAGAUUAUGGCAGGACGUGGCCAAAACCCUUUCACUGAUUAGUCCAACCAAACUUCAAAACUUUAAUUAUCCUUAAGCCAAUAUUCAUGAUAGGUUUGGGAUAAACAACUUUAACCUCUACGAAUAUGACUGUUUCGGUUCCAUGUGAUCUUGACACAGGAUUAUCAUCAAAGGUUUUCAACCUCUUACUUGUCCUCCACGUGUUUUUCCUCAAUUCAAUUCAAGAUUGGACAAGCUUUCUAAAAUCUAGCUGAAAACUCCGCAUGCAUGUCGUGUCACUAAAAUUAGCGUGAAAAGAAAUAUAUAUAUGCAAGAAGAACUAAACACAAUGGAUUAAAAUGACACAAAGAAGAGAGAAAAAAAGUUGCAUCUCAUUGAUUAAAGGAUAGAGAGGUUUGAUGACAGGACAAACAAACAACAUCUGGAUCACAACCUCAAAACAAUCUGGAUGAUAGAAAUUAUGACAAAAUAAGUUACCAAGACUCCUUCCCGGCAAGGAAGGGAGUGACUUUCCAAUUAUCAAGCUCAACAUCUUAGCUACAAAUCUGCACAUCAGCAUCAAACAAGAUCUUCAACAAUUUUGAUCGUCUUGCAUUCAGUGGACAGGUUCUUGACAUUUUUCACAAACCAUCCCCAUAUUCUUUAUCAUUGUAAAUCACCCGAAUAAUGCGUGCUCGGUCAUGACGUUUAGGGUGCCAUUAUCUUGGACCACGAUCAUUCCUUCUUGAAUCAUCAUUUCUAUUUCCUUUUUCAAAGGCGGACAAUCCUCAAUGUUGUGUCCCUGGACAUUAGAAUGGUACAUGCACCAUACAGCAGGGUCAAAGACUUUUGCAUAUGGAUCAGGAACAUACCCUUGAAGCGGCUCAAUCAUGCCACAACGUUUUAGCCUUUCAAACAAACUUGUGCAGGAUUCUACGAUUGGCGUGAAAUUGUCCCUCUACUUAUGUUCCUUUUCGUACUCUUGUUUUGGACGAGGGUUGUAGGGUGAUUGAGAGUUCUGUUAUUGCGGACGAAGGUAUGUCAAAGUUGGGACCCGCAUCUGCUGGUGAUUGGAUGGUUUGGCAUAAGACUGAGCAUUGAAUGUUGCAUAUUAUGGAGCAACUGAGUAUCAUGGAUCCGGGGGCUGAGAUGCUCCCCUUUGGCCUCUUUUUGCCCGUGACGCUAUCAUGGCCUCUUUAUCUUUCUUCUUUUGGUUAACAAGGUUGCCCGGCCUAUUAUGGAUUUCUUGAGUGGCUGCUUUGAGAGCCGCUUGACUUAUAAUUCGGCUAGAAUUGAGGCCAUUCUCAACCAUUUCUCCUAUCUUGAUUACAUCAGCAAAAGGUCUGCCCAUUGUAGACAUCAUAUUUUGAAAAUAAUCAGGAUCCUGAGCCUGAAGGAAGAUAGUGAUUAACUCAUGAUCAUCCAUGGGUGGCUUAAGUAGACAUCCUCUAGAUGCUUGCUCUCUCCACCUAACGGCAUACUCCCUGAAGCUUUCACUUGAAUUUUUCUUCAUAUUGGACAGGGAAUUGCGAUCUGGCACAAUAUAAAUGUUGUAUUGAAAUUGUUUGACGAAGGCUUGGGCCAUGUCAUCCCAAACAUGCCAGUGAGAGAUAUCUUGGUCAAUGAACAAUUAAGAGGCUACCCCUACCAGACUCUCCCCAAAAUAAGCCAUCAACAACUCUUCAUUUCUUCCUGCAGCCCUCAGCUGGUUGCGUACCUUUCAAGUGGGCGAUAGGGUCACCGUGUCCAUCAUAUUUCUCAAAUUUUGGGGUCUUGAACCUUGGUGGAAAAUGGAUGUGAGGAAACGUGCAUAGAUCACUGAAUGAAACACUUUUGUGACCACCUAAUCCUAUAUGUUCUUUAUGUUCUGCUCAAGACUUUUCACUUUUCUGGCCAACUCAUCUGGCUCACUCAUCUUGGUAGCUUUUUCUAUUUCUACAGGUGACUCAUGCUGAGAAGUUUGAUUGUAUGGAGCCAAGACCCUGAAAGUCAUGUUUCGAGAGUAGUAUUGUCCAUCAUAAGCAUGAGAUGGUGGCUCAUUAUUUGGCCUCUUCACAUGAGGUUGUGGCAGAAUUGUAUACACAGGCGCACCAGACAUGACGAGAGGUGUGUUCCUAAAUGGUGCGGCAUGAGACUGCACAUUAAGGGUACCAGGGCCGACAUGGAAGCUGUAGUUUGGCACAUACCCUGGUGGUAGAAUGUGAUUGCUCGUUGCAAUGAGCGGUGGUUGAGUAGCUUGUGGUAUGGUGGAAGUUCCCUCAGAUGUACCCUGAGGCAGAGGCUGACUAGAGAUCCAAGCCUGAUACACAUCAGUCAGUUGGUGUUUCAAUCUUCUUACUUCCUCCAACUCUUGCUCAACCGAUUGACCCUGGGGGUCGUCACUGACCAACUCGAUUUCAUCAUUGUUAGCCAUCGCUACCUUACCCUUAGAUUUGGUAAGGUAAUGAUCUGCUUCCAGUUUUACCAUAAACCGACCAUCUUAAGCUUACUAUAUAAGAGGUAACAAACAUGUUAAGGCAAAGCAUUUUACAAAUACGAAUCACAUGUAAAUAUGAUAUGCUCCUAACAUUAUCACCGUUUCUAACAUGCUUUUGGAAGGCUUCGUGUUUUAUUCCGGCAUAUAAGGUCGCUGCUUAUUGACGCUCUUAUUUAUUCCUCUCUUUUUGCCUUUUUUUACACCUCGCCUUAUUUUAGAGCUAUUGAAAAAUAUUUCGAUCGAAACUUUUAGGGGUUGCCUACGUAUCAUGUCGUGGCAUGAAUCAGAUCAUUACAUAGUUCAAAUACAUAACCUUUUUUUUUAAAAUUAACAAAACAAAGUUUUCCUCUUUUUUAUGUACAAAAAACAACACCUUUUUUGGUUCAUUUUCAAAUUUUUCUAAAACAAAAUCUUUUUCAUUGAUUUUCGAUUUUUUUAUACAAGACAAAGGAAAAUUACAUAAAGAUACAACCCAAAAGACGAAUAUUUAAACAAGAUCGGACUCAACUCAAACAAGAUGAAUAUUUAAGCAAGACUCAAAAAACUAAAAGACUCUUACAAACUCGAUGAUUACAAAUGAACAAUCAAAGUGGACUGCCAACUAAAAAAAGACUCUAAUCUCCGAAGGAGAAUCCACCGGCAACAUUGUAGUUAAGGUGCUUAUUCCUGCGGGUGACCUCCCAUAUCAUUGUAUAUGCGCCUUAAGUCUGUGGCAAUGUGGCAUGCAAAGUUGGGCGCUACCAUAGCAAAUUGCUCUCGGGUCAAACCCUGACAAGUCACACACCCUCGAGCGAUAUAAGUAGCCACCUCAUAGACCCUCCUUCUAACAUGCUCCUGGCUCUGACUUAAAAAUUGGAUCUGUCGCCCAUGGUUAUUGGCUAUGUCUGAUAUAUCUGCCCUACGUUGUGACACCAGAUUCAGCUGGUUCUGGACCCUUGCUAGCUCAUUCUCUAGCUGGUUCUUACUUGAUUCUGCAGCCCUGGCCCGAGCCCUUAGAUCAUGGAUGAUAAGGUUGUAAUUCAUUUCUUUGUACUUUGGAAUGGCCGCUUGUUGCUGAGUAGCGGCUUCUAUUCUCGCUUGUCGAAGCUGUGCUUGAAGUGCUUGAACCUCAUGUAUUAAUCUGGUUUUCUCCUCUUUAAACUCAGUAUACUACAAAUCCCUAUUCACGUUGACGAUAUUGUAUCCCUACAUAAUUCGCGGAUGAUGGAUUCAUAGUCUCUUGUUAUUUCCUCCUUGGUCUGCCCCUACUCUUGUUCUGAUUUCAUUCGCGCAUUCUGUCGUGCUCUUCAGAAUUAUCUCUUGCCUAGAUCCAAAAGCAUCUUGGUCAUAGAACCACUCAAAAUAUGCGGGGUCUAACUCUCCUUGAUCUUGAUCUUCUAUCAUAGUGUAAAAUUCUAGCACCUUAAUUUCAUCUCAAACCUACUUAGCAUACGCCUCACGAAUAGGAUCCUCUGAUGUUACCUCCCAUAUGAAUCUUUGCAUGUGCUCCACUAUGGGCACGACUUGUUUUCGACCUAAUUGGCGUAAGGCUCUCAUAGGCACAUAUGGCUGAAAACCCAAAAGACCUAUCAAAAUAAAAAACAAAUGGUGGUAAGACCUGUAUAUGACCUCUUUUGGUGAGAAUAAGUGGUAUUUCCAUGUGAUUCCAGUAGCAGUCAACCUUUGAAGAUACCCUCUCCAUGCUUCGGCGCACUUGGGGAAGCUACUAUCUUCGAUAAAAACUUUAGACCUAUCUUCAAGCUCAUUAUUGCACCAAUGGACGCUAAUAUUUACCCGUACGGGGUGUAGGAAGGUGCUCUAAAGACCAUAUCUGGAGUAUGAUGUUACAACCCUCAGAGAAAUCUUUCCCUUCCUGACAUUUGGUUAGGGCACAGUAAAUAUCUGACAAUACCAUAGGAAUGAUAGUGACAUCCUUUCCACGCAAUAAAGCGGUAACUAUGCCAGAUAAUCGAAUAUCAAUAUUUUUGUCAUGCCUCGGGAAAACCAUUAUCCCUAGAAAUGCUAUUAGGAAUGCUCUCCGCCCAUGUCUUUGCCAAGCUUUGUAUCCAAAUUUAUUAUCAAGCUUUUUCCCGUUCUUUGAAAAUCUAUCCGGACACCCAUACCUGUCGUACAUGAAAUCUAAUCGAACGUACCCUCUUUCUACACUUGCUAUUUUAUUUUGGCUAAUUGUCAUCUGCUCAAGGUACUUACUUCCAGUGACAUCCCUCUGGGCCAAGGGUCUCUUCUUCCGAAGCUCAUCGCCUAACUUUGUAUAUCCAGCUAACUCCUCCAAAGUGGGAGUCAUUUCGAACCCAUUAAAAUGGAAUAUGUUGUUAUUAGGAUCCCAGAAAUGUACCAACACCUCGAUUAAGUCCCUCCUUGUGUUGAUCUCCAUGAUAUUCACAAAGUUACCCAGAUGGUCCUUUAUUUUUUUCCUGCUCACAAACACCCAUAUUUUUCCACUAUUGCCUCAGCAACCAGGGUGUUUUAUACAUAAGCCAAAUCUGCAAGGGCUCAUCAUCUUUUGGAUUUUUAUCGAGUAUUCCACUUACUGAAUUCAUAUCUUACCUAGAUAAAUAAAAAUGUGAGGUCAAGUCCUAAUAUAAACUCGAAGAAAUGACACCAAGCAGACUUUUGGAUAAGACAAUGAACGAACUUCUUAGUGGAGAAUUCCUCGUAUUGAAGGAUCAGUCAACUAAGACCCAACUGAUCAGACUUGAUUGAUAUGCCAGAAUUGGACGAAAAGGGCCAGACUCAAGGAUGACUAACCACGUAUCUCACGGGGAAACAAGACAUGAUAAAACGAGCCGACCGAGGACAAAAUGAUAAAAGGUGACAAAAGGGACAAGAUGGUUAUUCUUAUGAAAACGGUUCUUCAGUACUUCGAAGGGAAGUACUAUGGUUGUCUCGGUAAAAACAUCUGUACACAUGGAUAAGCGGGUAAAAGCAAACAAAAGUUAUUCUUUUACGAAAACAGCCAUUUGGUACUUCCAAAAAAAGUUUUAAGGUUGACUCGGCAAAGAUGGUCGGAAAUAAGGGCAACACGGCAAAAAUGUGAAAAUAAAUAAACAAAAUAAAUAUUUUGCAAAAAUAUCUCCUCGAUGCUUCCAAGGAAGGUUGUCGUGGCAAAUUAGCCGAAAUACGAGGGCAAAACAGUAAAAGAUGACCAAAAAUAGCAAUUGUUUUUGAAAAUUUUAUGCACAUGCGUAAUUUUUAUGCUUUUUUUUUUUUGAAAAAUGUGGGCUAAAUACGUAGAGGUUGCCUACGUAUCUCAUAUCCGGUGAGAAUCAAACCCGCGUAGUUCCGUCAAACUGAGUAUUUUUCUCUUUUGAUUUUUAUGAAAAUUAAUCUUUACACCUCACGCCAGACUACUACAAAAUCUUAGUAAAAAAAAUUAUUUGUACUAAACUAGGACAAUGAUUCUUUUUAUUUUUUAAUUAUUCCACUCGACUAAUUUUCUAAAGUCAUUCAGCAAUGCAAGUAAGCCUUCCAAAUGAUGUAACAAGUUGCACAUAAGUGCACAUGAUGGUCUCAAAGAGGACCUGUCUUAUACGAACCCGGCCCCUGUGCCGAGCUUCGCUAAGUCAAAUGCAUGUGAUGCAAAUAAUGCGAACCUACUAGGGCUAUUCGGCAUGAUGUUUGUGUAUCUAGGUUUAAAUCUUAUUGGAGAAGGUAUCUAGUCUGGCUUACUCGAGCGGACAACUCGAGCCGAGGAGGGUUAGCGUACCGGUAGCAGUGUUUCCGGCUUAGCUGGUGGUGCUCCCUGCCUAAAACAUGUGUGACUAAAAUCCUUCACCGGGUGACAAGCAUCUCUGCUAUCUCAAAGAAAGCGGGAUAUAUCAAGCAAAUACCCAAUUUUUAAUUUCAAGAAGACUUAGAGGGGGCGCGUGAGAAGACAAUUUAUAUGUACAAUUCAACAAUAUCAAAGUGGUAAAAAGCGAACACGUAGCACAUUAGGCACAAACAAAUCACAAUAUAUACAAGAAUUAAUAAAGCCAAAUAAAAAGUCAACAUGUACAAGCUCGAAUUCUGGUUGUCCCCAGCAGAGUCGCCAGAGCUGUCACACCCCUUUUCUACCCCUCAAAAGAAUAUGUGUUUGUUAUGAAUUAUUGUGGGUUAAAGAGUUUUUCCAAUUAAAGUGACAAUUUUGAAAUAGGGAUUAUUUAUUGUUCAGAGUCGCCACUUGGAAUUGAUUUUUGGGUAUUCCAAGUCACCUUUUAUUUGGAUCCCUAUUCAAAGGAAGAUUUGACUCUUUUAUUAUUGGUCUGCAAAAACACAGUCCGGGUAAGGAAUUCUGUUGACCGGAGAGAAGGUGUAAGGCAUUUCCCGAGUCCCGUGGUACUAGCACGGUCGCUUUUAUUGAUUAAAAUUGGCUUGAAUUAAUUGCUGGAUAAACUAUGCUUUAUUUGACUUUUCAUGUCUGCCUAUAUCCGCUUUUAUUUCUUGAUUAAUAGAAUUAUUUUAAAAAAAUUGGAUAAAUUACGUUGUCAUAACCACGCUACGCAAGCGAAUGCGUGAUCGAACAACACAAUUAAUUAACUUAUCAUAAUUGUGUCUCGCAAGAGAAUCCGAAAUCAUGACAGUCAAUUAUUUGUAGUACUUUUGACAAAUUACUACAUUUGAGAAAAUUAAUUCUUGAAAUUAUUAAAAGUCAACUACCGCGCUACGCAAGCGAAUUCGGGAUAUUAGCAAAAGAUUAUUUAAAUUAAAAAUUAACUAAAAACUAAUGUGUUUGAGAUUAUUGAAUUAAUUUAUUGAAUAUUGAACAUCACGUUACGCAAUCGAUUCCGUGAAUAAAAAGAUUAAAGCAUGCCUACUAAUUGCCUAGUUCUUAAACUAAUUAAAUUAUUAAGUUAAUUAGUAAAAAAAGACUAAUUUCUUUUUUGGAUUAUAUAUUAUAUAUGAAAAAAAUAUGGAAAAUUAGUGAUGGGCCAGCUCACUUAUAUUGAAAAUGUUGGCCAUUUUUGGCUGUCAUGAGUAUUAAGCCCAAUUUAUGUAGCCACUUGGGCUGCUGGCCCCUUUUGAAAUUAAGUGACCAUUGGGCCAAUUGUUGGUUAUUGUAGAGAAUGGACUAACUUAUGCCAAAUUGUUUUCUAUCUCUCACGGCCCAAUCUUCCUUUGUUAAGCUUAAAUGGAACCAACUGAAUAUAUCUCCAUACUUAAACUUAACAUUUAUCGUGCUAAUUAAAUAAAAUGACCUAAACAUACAACUAUGAUAUUAACUUAAAGUGAAGAUGUCAACCUGGGCAUAAAAUUAUUCAAGCUUCAAAAUCAGAAUAUAGAAGACCAAAACUCCUACAUCAAUUAUUUAGCUAAUCAAGCAAGACAAGGAGUUAAACUACUCAUCAUUUUAGAGUUGAAAGGCUAAAACAGAGAAAUGUAUUCAAUAAGGACAUGACUUGAAUCUUACCGAGCCAUUAAACUAAUUAAGAUAGUAAACUAAUUUUUAUUAAUCCAUUUGGAUGAAGAUGUAAACGAGAAAACUAAAUAUAGUAUUCCAUUUGAGCCUACCACAAGAAUAAAUUUGGAAAAAACAUCAAGAUAGUAUAAAAUGGACCUUAAACAAAAUCUAUUUUUUAAUGUGUAAGGAACUGGAACCUUCAACAUCUAUUUUUAUGCUUGACAUUUAAACACAAGACUAACGAGAGCAGAAAGUUUUUAAGGUAUAAGGAAGUAAAUAAAACUCAAAUAACUUUAACUCAAAUCAUCUAAUCUUCAUUCAUUAUCGUGUCAAGAAUUACAUCAUUGGUUGAGGGAGUUACAUGGAUAGCAGAUAAAUGAACAAACACAGCGAAGUCAGUUUUUCCCAAAGUCAAGAAGUGGACAGCAGAACAACCCCAGGCAGCAAAGAACAGCAGUAACAGAACUCAAGAAGACCCCAGAGAAUCCCAACACGAAAGCACUUGAACUAGAAACUAGUAACCUGUCCCUUUUACCAACUAUGAACAGAAUUUUGGAGUAUUGUACUUUAACAGUUUUUGAACAGUAAAAGGCAGCCAAACAAGCACCAUAAACUCAAGUAUUCAGCUUUUAUCAUAACUGAAAUUCAAGCUAACACACUCAUACCUUCAAACUAACCAAAUUAUGGAUUGAUACAGCAGAAACAAGACUUAAAAGAUAACCGAACUAAGUAUUCAACAAACUAGAUAGAAAUUAAUUUGAUUUGUACAAACUAACAUGAAGCGAUUGAGAUAAAAAACUAACAUGCAAAACAGAAACUAAACGAGGAUGGCUAAACUAUCACACAUGAUUAAUAACAACUUAACAAACGACUAACUAAAUAAAUGAUUCAACUAAUCUUUUGAUUUUUCAUAAAAGUAGCAUAAAACACUUAACUACCGACCGACUAGGUCGGAAAACUGAAAAUCCAAACUUAACAAAUUCACACAAAAUAGUCGACCGGCUAGGUCGAAGAGCCAAAAAUCAGAACUAACAGACAGUAACGAACUACUUGACCGGCUAGGUCGAAGAACUGAAAUUCACAUUUAUAAAGUAACAUGUAAUUGAAAACUAAUACUACCCUAACUCAAUUGCACACAAAUAAAAAUAACAAGAAUAGAAAUUAGACCUUAACACUAAUACUAAUUACAAAAGCAAAAAGAAAAAAUCAGAAAAGAUGAAAAGGAAGUAAGGUUUAUACCAAUCGAGGGCAUAUGAAAUUGUCCAUAAAUUUCGGGGAUGACACGAGCAGUGACAAAUGAUGACGAGCGACCUUUGAACAAACUUUUCUAAGCGGAAGACAUUAGGGUCACCGAUUCAUGGGAGCCGACUAAUGAUUUCAACACCAUAUCGCCUAGAAAGGGUCGUUACCAGGUCAUGUCUAGGAAAAACAUAGCGACUUAGGCACUUGGUGGUGGUGAGACGGCAGUGGGGGCUGCUGGACAGAAUUCAACCGAAUUUCGGCCGGAUUUUGGAGGGGUUUGAAGGUUUUGAGGCAUGAAAUGGAGAAGAGGAGAGCGAGAGGAGGCCGGCGGUGUGAAAUUUUUGGAGUUUGGGGUGGUGAGCGGCUGCUAGGGUUUCGGUUAGGCUUAGAUUUAUGGAGAUUGAGAGGGGUUAUGGGGAUUUGUGGUUCGGAUUCAUGAAGAGGAGGAGGAGGAGAGGAAGAGAUUGGCGUUGGUUGGAGGGUGUUUGGCCACCGGAGGACGGCGGCGCUGCCGUCGGGGACGGGCAGCGGCGGCGGAGGAAGAAGAAGAGAGGAGAAGGGGUCUAGGGCUUGGGCAUGUAUGGAAAUGAGGCCAAAAAAUCAGAUUUCUAAAAUUAUAUACCUCAAAUGACAUCAAUUCUGGACCAUUGGAUCAAAGAAAAUAGGUGGCCAGGAUUUCAUCUUGAUCACUUAACCAAAACGACGUAGUUUCAAUCUAAAACUACGUCAUUUAGACCAUCUCCUAGGAGCCCCAACUGGACCGGAUCAGUAGACUCUUUGGGCUCCUAAUUUUGGGCCAGUUUUGGUUCAAUUUUAAUUAAAAUACACUAGUCCAAUCCUUUAACCCCUAAUUAUACUAGGAUAUUAUUUAAUCCUAAAGAAAAUGUACAAAUAGAAAGAAUUUUUUUUUGGGUAUAUAUAAUUUAAAGAUGCAAAACUAAAAUAUGCAAAUAAAAGGUAAAAAAUUAUUUUUGGUAUUUUUAAUAAAGGAAUGCAAAUAAAAAUUCACAACCAACUAAAAUCAUCCAAAUACUAGUAUUUGUAGGAGAAUUAAAAGCAAGCAAAAAUUAGGUAUUCACACCACAGACUCUAGCAAAAACUCACAUUUGGAGAACAUAACAUAUAGCUUCUGUUCUCGCAAUGUCUGAAGCACCACUCUCAAAUGCUGCUCGUGCUCCCCUAGGCUACGUGAGUAAAUCAAGAUGUCAUCAAUGAAAACAAUAACAAAGGAAUCAAUAUAAGGCCUGAACACCCGGUUCAUCAAAUCCAUAAAUGCCGCUGGGGCAUUAGUCAAGCUGAAGGACAUCACUAGAAACUUAUAAUAGCCAUAUCUAGUACGGAAGGCAGUCUUCGGGACAUCUGAGUCCCGAAUCUUCAGCUGAUGGUACCCCGAUCUCCAGUCGAUCUUAGAAAACACCCGCACCCUGCAACUAGUCGAACAGAUCAUCAACGCACGUUAAUGGGUGCACCCCAAGGUGAUACACUCGGUCUCACAAAUCCCUUUGCUAACAACUCCUCACGCUGCUCCUUCAACUCUUUCAACUCUUUCAGAGCCAUACGGUACAAUGGGAUAAAUAUAGGCUGUGUACCUGGAGCCAAAUCAAUACAGAAAUCAAUAUCACAAUCCUGUGGCAUGCCUAGAAGGUCAGAAGGGAACAUAUCGGCAAAUUCCCGAACUACUCGCACUGAAUCAAUCGUCGAAGACUCUACGGUGGUGUCCCGAACAUAAGCUAGAUAAGCCAAAAAACCUUUAUCGACCAUAUGUCGAGCCUUCAGAAAAGAGAUAACCAGACUAGAUGUACUAACGGAGGAACCCUUCUAUUCCAAUCUCGGCAACUUUGGCAUCGCUAAAGUAACAGUCUUGGUAUGACAAUCAAGGAUGGCGUGAUAGGUUAGAGGAUUUAUGCAGCUGGAUAGAUGUGAGAUGGCAUCCUUCCGGAUUCGACAACUGCAAUUAUGAACCUCCAUGAGAAAAGAAUUGCAAUUAGCUCGUGUGAAAAGCUUCCUUGGUUUUACUUUGCGAUUAGAAAGAAAUAACAGAUUAGAGAUUGGAGUACUAAUCUCUCACAAAUCACUGGAGGGUAAUGUAACAUGCCCCCCCACCCCCACCACUUUUGUUGCCUUUACACAAUCAAUAAAACAGUAGCCCUGUUCAUUACAAAAAAACAGUGGCUGAUUUUUGUGGCUGAACAUGUGAGUCGAAAUUAAGUAAAAUGUUCAAUGCAUCCACCUUCGUCGAUGUAGCACCCGCAAUUAGAGACGGACCCAGAAUUUGAAAAUAACGGGGGCACCAUCAAAAAAAUUGUAGCAGGCGGGUUUCGAACCCGUAUCGUGUGACAAAGAGCAAGGCUUAUUCUUAGAAGAAUAAGAAUUACUGCAAGCGUAAUUUUGUUAAUGAGGGUGCCAAAAAAAAUAUUUAAGGGGUCCCCAACGUAUAUACAACUAUGUAUAUAUAGAGUUUUUGUCGAAGUUAACGGGUUCACGUGACCCCUCAAGCAUGGCUGUAGGUCCGCCUAUGCCGGCAACAACAUCAAUAGAAAUUCAACAGUGAUAAAUUUAUAUGGUACAUCAACAUACAAAUUAAAAAUAAUUUUCGUACAAAUUUUUAUGCAAAUUUGAAUAUCUAUAGCAACAUACAUAGUAAAAAUAAAUUUCAUACAACUAAUUAUAUAUUAUAAAACUUAUUUACAACUUUCAUAAAUUAUUUCUACAGAAUUAAAUACAACUACAAUAUCAUACAACUUAAAUACAAAUUUUAUACAAAUUUUAUACAAUAUGUCUUUGUAUAUAUUUUGUAUCUGAUUUGUAUAUAGUUUGUCUGUGGUGUGUGCUUCUUCCUCUCUAAAAUUCCAAUCAAAACUUACUCUCGUAAUAAAAUUUUGAUACAUAUCAACAACUUUAUAUAAAAAAAUAGUAUUAAUAACUUAAAUAUAAAUUUUAUACAAUGAUUCAUAUAUUAUUCAAUUAUUUUUCAACUUUCAUACAACAUUCAAAUAAAAAAAAAUAUAUAACUAUAACAGAAUAUAAUUUACAUAUAAUUAUAAUACAACUUUACUACAAUUUGUAAGUACAUUAUAUGUCAUGUUUUCUUCUUCUUCUUCUUCUUUGAGUUUCAAUCUAAAAUUCAACCACAAUCAAGUCUAAUCUUCACCAAAACAUGCUCAAAAUUGAGAUAUAAACUCCAAAUAAUAUUCUCAAUUGUUUGCAACAACAUCCAAUCCAAACAAAUAAUAGUUUUUGAAAACCCAAAUUUGAUUUCAAAGUUUCAAAGCUUUUUAAUGUCUGUCAAUGAUGGAGAGUCAAACACCUUUCAAAAUUUAUUGAUUGACAAUUUCAAUUUGAAUGCCAAUUGUGCAACAUGAAAGGAAAUUGCUAAGUUAAAAUGAUUAAAAUCCAUUGAUGAAUUCCAUUAAAACUCUAUACAAUAAGAAAGCAUAAAAAAAAACAGAGAACAUCAAAUGAAGAAAAAUUGGGGAAAAACAGAGAAGAGAGUAGAGAGACAGAGACGGGGAGAGAGAGAGAGAGAGAGAGAGAGAGACGGAGAGAGAGAGAGUGGCAAGNNNNNNNNNNNNNNNNNNNNNNNNNGGAGGAGAGAGAGAGAGAGAGAGAGAGAGAGACGGAGAGAGAGAGAGUGGGCAAGUAUAAAGGGAUAAGGAAAUAACUAAUAUUCCUUAUUCAAUUCCUAAUAUAAAGGGAUAUUCCUUUAAAACUUAUUUGUAUAUAAUAGGUAAACUAUAUAUGAUCGUGUAAUUAAAUUGAAACUUGAAUAGAGAAAGUAAUAUGAUUUCAAAUAGUGUAUAGGAGGGUAAAAAUCCUUUCUAAAGUUUGGAACUUCACAUCCGAAAUUUUCAACUUCAGUCUCAUGAGUUUGAAAUUUAUUCUGAAGCUGCUUCACAUAAAUAUAUUUUACUUUUCGACACACAAGAAAACAUAAUGGGAGACAAAUAAUACUUGAGAAUUUAACAUAUAGGAGACAGUAUAAAGAAUUUAACUUAUGGGAGACAGACAAUACUUGAGAAUUGAGUUUAUUAAAAGAAAGACUAGUUAAAACUUAAUUAGCCACCGAUGUUAAUGGAGAAUUAAGAUUAAAAUAAGAGGGGAAAAAAUCUUUGCAUCAUACAGUGUAGAGCUUAUCAUUUCAUUUGGAUUAUUGUAUUUAAAAAAGCUCUUGUUGAGGUGUACUUGACCUAGGAAAAAGAACACAAUCUUUUAUCGUUUUGGAAAUCACGUUUCUUAGUUGAUUAUGAAGUUAAUAAGUACUUACAAGCAAUUAAUAAUCAGUGAACAACGAGUACCAAAUUCUCCGUUAAUUGACUGUUGCUUGUGUCAACAAAUAAAACACAACGUAGUUCCUCCAAAAGAAAAGUAAGAGAAUUUUUUUUUAGUAAAAGUAGAGAAUUUUGUUUAACUGCUAGUAUCUAUUAUUGGUAAGGCUAGUGUUGAAAUAGAAAAAUAUUGAGGAAAAAAGAACUAAAACCCCAGCUUAUAUCGGAUGAUCUUCGAACACGGGAAACAAAGAUUUAAAAUUUAUGGGUUUGGAAUUCUAAUAUUAUCAAGUUAUUGAAUUCUAAAUUAAUAAUUUAUGCAUAUUCAAUAAAAAAAAUUAAAAUAUCUUGAACAUAAGCUCAGCCGAACCUGUAACCGACACUCUAACUUUGCCCUACCUGUAUGGGUCAAAAUUUGAUUGAGGAAAUUCAGCACGAAGAGGCGAUUAUCACGAGUUAUUCGUGAUUAUCAUGAGCAAUUUGGCCGAGGCCGACUAGUGAUUAAUGGAACGUGUCGCUAGGCAGUCAGUCACGGCCGAGGUCGAGUAUUACGAGCAAUAGUAGCAGCGGCUAGUUUUGUAUUUGGAUCCUCAGAGAGAAUAUUCCAUUGAAUAUUCUCUGUAUUUGUACUUUUAGGAUCCUUUGGGGGAUGUCCCAUAUAAAAGGAAUGAAAGAUAAGGCAAAUGACAUAUAAUAUUCUAGGUGGUAAGAACUCUUUUAAAAAGCAAGCUUUCUAGAUAAAUACAAAGAACACCUUUUUAAAGAGAUUCGUUUUUUUGGAUUAUUCCUUGUCAUUUCCACCAGAUCCGAGAAAGUCUUCAAUAUUCUUAUAGUUUCUUGUCACUCAUCAUUGUCAGAGAGAGAAAUUAUCCACCUUAAUCAAUAUUGGGUGAAUCUUCCUCUUUAUUUACAUGUGGUGCCAUUUAUUGCCAUUUAAUAUUUGAUACUUCUAACACAUUAUUGCAUUCGAAGCAUUUAAUGUAUAGUGCAUUAAAUCUGCCUCAUCCCUGUCUACAUCUCCUACAUUGCUUAUCUUAGAUUUGAAGUUAUUAUAUUUAACUAAGAUUAACCUUUUAAAUAAUCGAUUAAUUAGUUUAGCCAAAGAUUAUUAUUUUUUGGUCAAAUAAUUUGGCGCCAUCUGUGGGGAUUUCCUAAUCAAACUUUUAGUUUCUCUCAGAUCUAAAAAAAAGCGAGAAACGCAAAACCUUAUUUUUUUGUAUGCACGGAUCUGGCAUGACAGGUAACGGAGAAGAAAGAAUGAAGGCAAUAGUCGGUCUCACCACCAACCUCUUAAACACCAUCAACAAAAUCACUGAAACAGAUGCUGAGAACGUAACGCCAAACGCCUCCCCCAGGCGGAGUGAUUCACCCCAUCCUCGUGGCAGCAUCACAACCUCACAUGGUAAAUGAGCCUCUACGUUCGCAACGAAAGAGGCACCACCAGCGGUAAAAAAGCUGCUUGAAGCUUGGUUGACAAACACGCUGACCAGCAUCCUUGACAAACCCGCCCAAAGGGAGAACAGAGAGAACACAAGGGAUUGCAUUGCACCGACAGACGAGCAGCACGACCCUCCUCCCAUAACAGGUGUCACUCAUAACGUUAAUAAUGCAGGUGACGACACCCUCACAGCUAUUUUGAGGAAGUUGGAGGAGAUGGAAAACGAAAAUAAAAUGCUUCGAGACCAAAUGAAAGAGCACUAAGAGGUAGACAAAAUACCAGGCGCCCCAAAACUCUUACCAAAAAGGUACGUCGGUCGGUUUGUUGAGUAGCCGUACAGUGAUGAAGUCGCGCCGUAUGCCAUUCCUAAAACCUUCAAAAUGUCGUCAUACCAGAAAAUAUAUGAUGGCAUGACAGACCCCAAAGAUCAUGUGACUCACUACGUCACCACAGUAAAAGGCAACGACCUCACCAAAUAGCAAGUAUCUUCCAUAUUAUUGAAAAAGUUUGGUGAAACCCUCACCGGGGGAGCACUAACUUGGUAUUCAUAGCUGCCUGGCUGCUCCACUGAGACAUUCGAGGAAAUGGCCGAUAAAUUUGUAACUGCCCAUGCCGAAGCUAAGAAAGUAGAGGCGGAGUGAAUGACAUAUUUUCCAUUAGACAGUCACCCGGUGAAGGGAUGAGAGACUUCUUUGCUAGGUUCAACCGUGUGAGAAUGACCUUGCCAAAUAUAUCAAUGGGAAUGGCAGUAGCAGCUUUCCAGAAUGGGUUAAACAGGAGCGGUUCGAGGGCGACCAAAAAGUUGUUAAGCCGGCUCAUGAAGUAUCUGCCGACCACUUGGGACGAGGUACACAACGCCUACUACGCCGAAGUAUGAGCUGGCGAAGACGACCUUAACGAACCAACCCAAUGGUUGACCUCAGUACAAUUGGAAUCCAGGAAAGACCGAAGAAAUGACAACAGAAGAGACCAUGCAGGCCCACGACCCAAUCGUGAAAGACGUCAGCCAUAUGUCAGAGCCGCCAUCAUACCGCCUCCCCGUCACGACGAAGGCCCAUCUAGGUCGCAAAUAGGGACUCGCCGAAGUGAGAGAGCUAUGCCUCCCUUACUAUCUGCUCACGAUUUUUGUGUUUCUCCCUCAGAAAUAUUCUACGCGCUGGAGAAGCUCGACCCAAAAGUUAAGUGGCCGCAGAAGAUGAGGUCCGACCCGAGCACCAAAAAGUCAAACGCCCUUUGCGAAUACCAUAAGGAAUGGGGUCACAAAACCGAGGACUGUAUCACCUUAAAGCAAGAGGUCGUGAACAUGCUUCACCAAGGACACUUGAAAGAGCUGUUAAACGACCUAGGAAGGGCCAACUUUGCUCGAGGAUGCGAGCAGCACCAGGGUCCACCAAAACUGCCUUCUCCAGCUCGAACCAUUUAAAUGAUCAUUGGAGGGGGUGACGAUGCAUCAAUUAACAACGUAAAAUUCACGACCACCCGCAAGCUCAAAUGGUCGAUCACUCAUGAACGGUAUGACGAACUCGAAGAAAGUAUCAUCUUCGAUAAAUCAGAUACCCACGGUUUGAUUUUUCCUCCCUAUAACGCUCUUGUUAUCACUUUACACAUAUUAGAUAUAGAUGUGAAAUGUAUUAUGGUGGAUAAUGGGGGCGGUGCGUGCAUUAUCCAUCCUCGAGUACUUGCACAAAUGAAACUCGAAGAUAAGAUAGUGCCACGCUGCAUCACACUAAUGGGUUUUAAUAAUGCUGUUGAACGGACAUCUGGAAAAAUCACACUCCCCAUCCUGGCCGGUGGCGUCACUCUAGAAACCACGUUCCAUAUUAUGAAUCAGGACACGACGUACAAUGCCAUUAUAGGUCGACUUUGGAUACACGCAAUGAGAGCUAUCCCCUCCAGCUUGUACCAAGUCAUCAAGUUUCCCACCCCAUGGGGAGUAUUCAGCAUCUGAGUGGAACAACGCACUUCCCGAGAAUGUUAUCGCAUCGCCGAGGAUUGCACAUGCAUGCAACAAAUGAAGGACAAAGCCAAAGAGGCAUAGCAAUUAACAGGGUCGAGGUCGAGCGGUGAUGAAGGGAAAGACGUCAUCAAAGACCUCGAAAUCAUAAAGCCCAUGGGAUCAACCGUAGAAUAUCUCAACCUCGUCCAACUCAACAAAAACGACCAUAGCAAAAAAGCCUACAUUGGCCACAAACUUCAGGAACUAGGUAAAUUCCAUCAUUUCUUAACUAACAACGCAGAAUUGUUUGCCUUUUCCCUACCAAGCAUCCCGAAGGAGAUAGCAACACACAGGUUGAACGUCGACCCACUUUACCCCCCAGUAAGGCAAGUUAGGCAAAAAUUCAAUUCUGCAAUAAAUGAUGCAGUCCGCGAGGAGGUUGAAAAACUGCUGGAAAUGGCUCCAUCAGAGAAUCAAAGUACCCCUAAUAGGUUGCCAACUUAGUCAUGGUGAAAAGGAAGAAUGAAAAAUGGCGGAUGUGCAUGGACUUCACAGAUUUGAACAAAGCAUGCUCGAAAGACUCAUUCCCGUUGCCCCAUAUCGAUCAGCUCAUUGACGCAACAGCUGGGCACGAGUUAUUAAGCUUCUUACACGCUCAUUGACGCAACAGCUGGGCACGAGUUAUUAAGCUUCUUACACGCUUUCAAUAGCUACAACCAGAUCCUCAUGGAAGACGAAGACUAGGAAAAUACCACCUUUAUCACCCACUAGGGGAUGUAUUGUUACAAGGUGAUGCCUUUCGGACAAAAACAAUGCAGGGGCAACAUAUUAGAGGUUGGUGACAAAGAUGUUCAAAGACCAACUCGGAAAAACCAUGGAGGUAUACAUCGAUGAUAUGUUGGUCAAGUCAAAAAGAAAAGAGGAACAAAUCGAUCACUUGAAAGAGACCUUCGACAUACUCAGGCGAUAUGGAAUGAAAUUGAACCCUGAAAAGUGCGCCUUCGACGUAACCUCAGGGAAAUUCCUCGGUUUCCUAGUAUCACAAUGAGGCAUCAAAGUCAACCCCGACAAAUCAAAGCUAUAGACGAAAUACCGGAGAACUUAACCAGUAAGAAAUAGGUUUAGAGACUGACCGGUCGUAUAACCGCCAUGUCAAGAUUUAUCUCAUGGUCCUCCGACAGAUGCCACAAGUUCUUUAGCGUACUCAAGAAAGACAACGACCUCCAAUGGAGCCCUAAAUGCAUUAACGCCCUGAAAGAGUUAAAGACGUGCUUAUCUUCACCCCCACUACAUUAGUAAAACUUUAGUCGACGCCGAGACAAGGUAUCCACACCUCAAAAAGUUGUCCCUGGCUUUGGUCGUAGCUUCAAGAAAGCUUAGACCCUACUUCCAGUGCCACCCCAUCUCGGUAGUCACAACUUUUCCCCUAAGGAGUAUUUUGCAUAAACCCAAGCUGUCGGACAGAUUGGCCAAAUGGGUCAUAGAGUUAAGUGAGCAUGAUAUUACCUAUCAACCACGAACGGCGAUAAAGUCGCAAGUGCUUGUCGACUUCAGCACAAAAAUAAUGCUUGAAGUCGAAAGAGAAGCCGCCCACACCUCCCCCCAAAUACAGGACAUAUGGGUUUUGUAUACCGAUAGCACCUCUAACGCAUCGGGGUAUGAACUAGAAGUUGUGCUCGAGGUCCCGACAGGCCAAGUAAUUCGCCAGUCCAUAAGAUGCCCGGACAUGACUAACAAUGUGGCUGAGUAUGAGGUCGUGAUUGCAGGAUUAAGGUUAGAACUCAAGUACAAAGCAAAGCAAGUCAUCCUACGCUGCGACUCUCAGCUCGUCGUCAACCAAGUUACAGGGACUUUCCAAAUCAAAGAGUAAAUACUACAAAAAUAUCAAGCCGAUAUCUGCAAGCUGUUACCCGAAUUCGAUGAACCAGCUCGACCAAAUCCCUCGAGCACAGAACAUCGAAGCAUGCGGCCUUGCCAAACUAGCAGCAGCCACUAAAAGCAUAACCGGAGAAGGAAACGUGGUCACUCUCCUCCACUCAUCGAUCGAUCAAAUUGAGGUAAGAACUAUAAACCUAACUUGGGACUGGCGCAAUCGUAUUGUUACAUACUUGCAGGACAACGUGCUCUCAGAUGAUAAAAAAGAAGCCAAAAAGUUUCGAAUGCAGGCAGCCAGGUACAAUGUCAUAAACAACAACCUGUACAAAAGAACGUAUGGCGGCCCCCUAGCAAAAUGCUUAGGCCCAAACCAGACACGAUGCAUUCUAGAAGAAAUCCACGAAGGCUACCGCGGAGCUCAUUCCGUCAAUCGAGCUCUGGUUAGAUGUUUCAUACGAGCAGGCUACUACUGGCCCACCAUGAAAAAAGAUGUCGCUGACUUCGUGAAAAAAUACGAACAAUGCCAAAAAUAUGCCUCAAUGAUCCACCAAGCAAGCGAGAACCUCCAUUCAGUCACCUCACCUUGGCCUUUAAUCAAAUGGGGAUGGACAUCGUCAGCCCCCUUCCAGCAGGGCAAGGUAAUGUACGAUUUAUUUUAGUUUUAAGUGACUAUUUUUUCAAGUGGGUCGAAGCAGGUGCAUUUGUCCAGAUAUGCGAGCAAGAAGUGAUCGCCUUCAUAUGGAAGAAUAUUGUGUGCCGAUUCGGCCUCCCCAAAGAAAUUAGUUAUGACAACGGGCCUCAAUUCACCCAAAAAAAGAUCGUCGAGUUCUUCGAGAAAUGGCAUAUCAAUAGAAUACUCUCCACUCCAUAUCAUCCCGCGGGCAAUAGGCAACUAGAAUCCUCCAACAAAUUGAUACUGAAUAUCAUGAAGAAAAUGCUCGAGAAUGCCAAGGGACUAUGGCCGGAACUACUGCCGGAAGUGCUAUGGGCCUACCGCACAAUACCAAAAACAAGCACAGGAGAGACGCCUUACUCACUUGUUUAUGGGACUGAUACAGUAAUACCGGUCGAGGUCAUAGAACCAAGUCUGAGAUACUCGCAUGAGAGCGGGUCGAGAAACGGAAAAAAUAGAAGGCAAGACCUCGAUGAAGCCGAAGAACGGAUAGAUGUGGCUUACAUAAGGAUGAUCGCCCAAAAACAACAGGCAGAAAGCUACUACAACAAAAAAGCCAAGGUCAGACCACUCAAAGUCGGGGACUACGUACUCAGGCCAAAACAUAAGCAAGCAAGGAUCCACGGGAAGGAAAACUGGGAAUGAAUUAGGACGGCCCAUACACAAUCACAGCAACAGCAAACAAAGGGUCAUUUUAACUAGAAACGAUGGAAGGAAAACUACUACCAAACAACUAGAACAUCGCUCACCUCAAGUACUUCAACUUCUAAGGAAAAAUGUUCUCCGAGUCGUACUCUUUUUCCCUCACCUGAGUUUUGUCCCAAAUGGGUUUUCUCGGGGAGAUUUUUAAUGAGGCGACGAAGAGGAUAUUUCGAGUUAAGCAUGAGUAGGUGAGGACACGAGUUGACUAGUUCAUUGCCUGACCUCUCAAAUACUUCUCCAGGUCGACCAAUGAAGGGACUAGAUAGAUUGGGACUGGAAUACCAGCCCGAAAAACAUGUAAACUUCUCCAAUGUAUAUGUAAUCAAAGCAUACAAAUAUAUGAAGUUCACCCAUGUCUUCACCAAAUUAACGUUGCAUCAACUAAGAGUAACAUUCGACCUCGCUCGAAUUUAACUCAUUUGAGCACGUGAUUUUUUUUCCCUAUGUGAAAUACUCCUACAAAUUAAAGAAAUGAUUUUUUCCCAAAUUGUUUGCAAUUUUAUAGGAUUUUUGUAGGAUUUUAUUAAUUAUUUGCAUUUUUGUGCACGUUUAAUCCUGUUAAAAUCAUGAAAAAUGUCAAAAUAUCAUGCAUUGCAUUUAGAUUUCGUGUUCAUAUUUUAGGGUUAGUUAGUUAAUUAAUUGCUUUGUUAAAAUGAAAACCAUAAAAAUAUCACUCAUUUACAUUGUUUAGCUUUAAAUGCUAGAAUAGUAUUUUUCUCUUCAUUAAUUUAGGAUUAUGUAAGGCCCCGUGAAAAUUUUUGCUUAAAAACCCGAGAUCUCGUAGUGCCAAGUUAGGAAUAUGUGUUCGGACCCUUUGGAUUGAUCUGUGCAUUAAAAAGUUAAGGAAUAAUGUUUACAGAAAAACGUGUUUCUGUGGUCCAUUAUGCGGUUGCAUAAUUGCUAUGCGGACCACAAAGUCGCCGCAGAGUGAGGUAGUUUGAUGGUUAAUUUUGAGGUCAACUAUGCGGCCAAUUAUGCGAUCGCAUAAUCAAUAUGCAGGUCAUAUAGUCAUCGCAUAAUCUUCUUGGAAUUUUUGCGAGGGACAGUUCUGCGGUGCAUUAUGCAACCGCAAAACAAGUAUGCGGACCGCAUUCUUGUCGCAUACCCGGACAGUUUGUUCAGGUUUUGGGGGCCAUUUUUGCGGUCCCUUUUGCAGGACGCAUUUCCAUUAUGAGAUCGCAGAUCGUGUUGAGGAUCAUAUUUUCUAAUUAUUAAAAUCCGACCCCAUUCCGUUAAAACACCCAUAUUAGGCCAUUUUGAGCAUAUUUUUCUGAUAGUUUAGAGUGGGGGAAAGGAUCCUAGAGAGAGAAAGUGGUCUUCAUCAAUUGUUCUUCAAUUCUUGCUUAACCACCUUGAAUAUUAACAAGAGAGGCACCUAGGUCUCCUUCCCAAGAGGUAAGCUUCUAUCACCAAGCUCUUAAUUCCAAAAAUGCAGCUAAAAUGGGUAAUUAGCAAGAUGAUUCAUGGACUUGAGAGUUGUUUGUUUUGCAUGCAUGGGUAAUGAAAGAAUGUAGGAAGAUGAUGGGAUAAAAAUGAUUAAAAAAAAAGGGGUUGUGGAAUGGUGGAAUCUUACACAAAAGAGUCUUAAAACAUAAUGCACACAUAGUGUUUGAUAGAGUGUAUUAGUGAGCUAGAAUCUUGACUAUCCCUCUAAUUCUUGAUUCAACUUGUAAUGCUCAUAAAAUAGAUCGAAGUUGCUAGGAGUUCCGGAGUUAUUCUUAUUGUAAGAAUUUAAGGAAAGCUCUAUUGAGGUAUGUAUGGCUAAACCCCCCUCUUCUUAGAAAUUGAGCUCCGUUGAUGUCUAUGCAAAUGUGGUAAGACCAAAAUUUGGUNNNNNNNNNNNNNNNNNNNNNNNNNNNNNNNNNNNNNNNNNNNNNNNNNNNNNNNNNNNNNNNNNNNNNNNNNNNNNNNNNNNNNNNNNNNNNNNNNNNNNNNNNNNNNNNNNNNNNNNNNNNNNNNNNNNNNNNNNNNNNNNNNNNNNNNNNNNNNNNNNNNNNNNNNNNNNNNNNNNNNNNNNNNNNNNNNNNNNNNNNNNNNNNNNNNNNNNNNNNNNNNNNNNNNNNNNNNNNNNNNNNNNNNNNNNNNNNNNNNNNNNNNNNNNNNNNNNNNNNNNNNNNNNNNNNNNNNNNNNNNNNNNNNNNNNNNNNNNNNNNNNNNNNNNNNNNNNNNNNNNNNNNNNNNNNNNNNNNNNNNNNNNNNNNNNNNNNNNNNNNNNNNNNNNNNNNNNNNNNNNNNNNAGAAAGGGACAACGUCUUGGUGAGGCGACCUAGCCGAUCGGGCCGUGAUCGGAUUCCAUGCCGCACACAUAGUGGUAUUGUGCUGAUAUUGAAUUCCGAAAAGUGAGAAUGAUAUUGUAAUUGAGGUACAUGUCUCAAAAGAGGCAACCUAGCCGAUCGGGUCAUGAUCGGACUCCGCUCAAGAAAGCGGUGGUAUUGUGAAUGAUGAUGAACAAUAUUAAAUUCCCUAACUAAAGCAAUGGAAAUUAUGUAAAAGUUAUAUGAUUCUUUUUUUUUGAUGAUGUGGUGUUCGGUUAAAGCUUUUGAUUGUCUCUUGUGAUUUCCUUGUUCAUGUAUGAUAGUUCUUCUAAAAAAGAUGGUGUUUAGUUAUACAUACUAGUACUAUUCCAUGGUACUAACGUCCCUUUUGCCGAGGGCGCUACAUUUUUGAAAUGAAUGUAGGUGGUUCUAUAGCGAAAAAAAUGCCGAUCGCAGGUAGCGAAGUAUCCUCCUCUCAGAAAGUCUUGGUGAGCCCCUUUUCUUCCAAGGGUUAUAUUGUACAUCUUUUGUAUAAAUUACCACUUUUGAGGUAUGGUCGGGGCCUUGUUGCCGGCAUUAUCAUAACUGUCUUUUGUAUUCUUAGAGGCUCCGUAGAUGUUGAUGUGGGUUAUGUACGGGCAUUGGACAGGUCCCUAGACUAUAUUGUAACUCUAAACUCUUGUUUUCUCUAAAUUGGAACUGUAUGAAAUCUUGAAAAUUUAACUAUGGUUUGGAUGUGGUAAUAUGAAAUGAACUGGCAAUGUCAUAUGUACUAUCUUUCCGACUGUCUAAAUAAAUAAGUGAAAGCACGAUUUUCUUGGUCAUAGUGAGUUGGGUAGAAAGUGUUAAAAGGCUUGCUCGGUUGGGUUCACUCGAUUGAACGCCGGUCGCGCCUCCCGAGGUUGGGGCGUGACAGAUUAACUAGUUUUUGUAAAUAUUAUAAUUAGAUAAUUAGUUUAAUUUUACAAAUUAGAUUAAUUUAGGAUCUUAAUUAAUUAAAGAAAAGAAAAAGAAAACAAAGAGAAAAGAAUUUAAAAAAGGAUUAAUUAAGUUUUGAAGUUGGGCCAAUUUUUAAUACACAAACUCCAGCCCAGUUAAUUUAUUAGAAUUCCAUCCAAACUAGCUCCCCAGACCCGGUGGGGAUUCUCGGUGGACCUUCUGCUCGUUUGGCGACUAUUCUUGACAAGAGUAGUCAUUUGAGUCAGCUUCGACCCCUCUCGAAGCACCCAGGCUAUGGAUGAGUUUUUGCCAGCUUCUUCUUGGUCUACCAUUGCUGCUUGAACCGGUAUACCCCCGACCCCUCCCAUUUUUAUUAUUGUGUGCUUUCUUCGUCAGUUUAGUUUACAUGGUAGGUUAGGAUAAUUAACAAACAAAUCCCAGUUUAAUUUUAAUCAGUUUAAUUGUUUAAAUCAUUUGUUGGCAUGUUUGGAUUUGUGGUUAAUUGCAACAUGUAUUAGGAUAGUCUAAAAAAUAAGAUUAAUUAGGUGUUAAUUAAUUUAUUGGUAAUUACAAUCGAUCGUAGGGUAGUUUUAUUUGGAUUUAAUUAUUAGGUAAUCAAGUUCAGAAUGUUCAAAUGAUUUGCUAGGGUAAUUGGUGACAGAUUAUUUUUUACUUUGACAUAUGGUUCUGUUUUGACCAAUGAAGGUUUGAUUAGUUAAGGCCUGAAUUAUUAUUGAACUUGGGUUUGUCUUGGGCCUGUCUUGGGCCAUUUGGCUAGGACAGUUGGCCCAGACUAAAGGGGAAGGUUCUAGAAUUAUACAAGUUGUCUAGAAUUGAUUAAAAAAAUAUGUAAAAAUAUCUGAAUAUGGACAGUUGUCUAACAGCUGCCCAAUUUCGGUUAUGGAAAGAUUCUUUCUCCCUGAAAUUUAGGGGGUGGGGUUGAAGGGAAUAAUUCUUAUCCUUUUCAGUACAUGACAUAUUGAGCAUCUAUAAAGGGAUAAUUCUUAUCCCUCACUCAUCAGGGGAGAUUUUUCAAAUCCUAAAAAAUAUAGAAAAGUUGAGUGCUACAGUUCUAUUAGAGUUUCGACAAAGGGAGUUAGAACAAAGUUUUUCUCUGGGAAUUUCUGGUUGUCCAAGGUCCAAACAUGGUUUAAUUUAGAGUUGUGUUACUUGUUGUGUCUCUGAUGUUGACUGCAUAUUCUGUUUGGUUGCUUCACUAUCCAUUUCAGCUCACUACCUUAUUUUGUUCCUUGUAUCCAAGUACCUCUAUGAACUUUGAGUGGCAAAGUGAAGCCUAAAGCAUGUAUAAGUCUUUAAUGUAAUAAAGUUGGGUGUUCAAAUGUUGAAAUCCAAGUUUUAUCUUCAUGUAUGUUAUUUCAAGUCAGCUAGUUCAUAAUUUCUGUUUUAGUGUUUAAAUAUUUUGAAUCUGAUGUGCUAGUAUAUGACUUUGCCAAUUGUAUGGAUAUUCAGAUUAGUAUAAUUGUUCUAUGUGUGGUUUGACAGUCUCAAAAAUGGUUAAUUCUCAGUUCACUUGGUCUUUAUCUUAGAAUGAUAGAUAUGUACUGGACAUGUCCAAAGUAGGUCAUGUUUGAUUAUUAGGUGUGCUUAGUUGAAAUAUUGCACAUUUUAAAAUUGUUCAAGUGAUUGUAUGUUUAAGUUGAUUCAUGAAUACAUUUUAGGAUUUAAUCUUUCAUUGUUAAUGGUAUGUUAAUAGGUUAAAAUCAUGAUAUGGUUUUAUCAACCUUCAAUCUUCCCAGAAAUUUUGUAUUAUUUUGUGUGCAUGUGAUUUUGGGUUUAAUUUCGAAACAAAAUUGUCUCCGACAUUCUUUUACUCAUUAAGUUUUCUUAUUCAGAUAAUAAAAAAAGGUUCUAACGUUGAAGGCCUCUCAUCAAAAGUUGGGCCUGGUUUUGGCCCAAUCAAAUCUGCCCUGCCAAAAUCAGGCAAGCUUGAGGUCUUCACCUUCAAUCUUGGGCUCAACUUCAAGCCCAGUCCACAACCGCAUCUCCUUCAAAGAUUUUCCUUAGAUAAUAGGCCUCCUGAUGGCCCAAUAUUUCAAUGGUUAAAAGCGUGUACCAACUUCUAAUGCCUUAGCUAUAAUCCAUGGCCUGUCAAUAAACCUUGAAUUAAUUUAGGAAGUAAAUAUGAACUUUCGUAGUUUGCUUUAGGCACGUAAUUAAAUCAUCACAACUACGGGUACGGUUCUCGUGGCGUAGUUGUAAUACCUAAUUUCAAACUAAUUUUAAAUAUGAACGUUCGUAGUUCGCUUUAGUUGAUGUACAAUUUUUUUUUUCGAAAUAAAUUGAGGCGAGUCAUUUACAAAUGAAUCCCAUAAUCUAUGGCCCUCAUAUUAAUACCAAAACUAGUGUAGAAAACAUUUUAAACAUUCGUAGUUUGCUUUAGGUGCGUUUAUAAUAAAAUUAUCAUAGCUACGGGUACGGUUCCCGUGACGUAAUUGUGAUACAUAAUUUCCAAAUUCGGGGGUACAUUUAUGUGACCCGGCCACUAUUUCAAUUUUGUUAAUAAAUUAAAUAUGUUGUAGAUCGUGGGUACAGUUCCCGUGACACGAUUCGCGGUGUGUACUAGAUAAGUGUAUGACAAUCGUGAUUUUUCCUAAAUAAUUAAAGUGGUUAAAGGAAUAAAAAUGCACAAUAGGUAUAAAAUAUGUAAUUAAUCAGGUAAUUAGGCCAAUAAUAAUAGUUGAGCGACCGUGCUAAAACCACGGAAUUCGGGAAUGCCUAACAACUUCUCCCGGAUUAACAGAAUUCCUUACCCGAAUUUUUGUGUUUCGCGGACUGUAAAAUAGAGUCAAACUUCCUCGAUUUAGGAUUUUAAAUCGGUGACUUGGGACACCAUAAAUUAUCUCAAGUGGCAACUCUGAACUUAAAUAAAUAAUCCUGUUUCGAUUAUUGUCACUUUAAUUGGAAAAACUCCCUUAUACCCAUUUCCGGAUAGAAAAAAAGGAGGUGUGACAGCUUUGGCGACUCUGCUGGGGACAAGAACACAGAACUUCUUGUUUAGGGUUCAGAAUUCAAGCUUACAAUAACUGUUAUAGUUAGCUUUUAUUUAUUAUUUGAUUUUUACAUGUUUGAGCUUAAUGUGCUAAAUGCCGCUUUUUACCGCUUUGAUAUUAUUUGAACUGUAUAUAAACUGUUGCGAAAACCCUUCUCUUGUGAACUUCUAGGAAGUGCACGCUGGCGUGACUUCUUUUCUGUUAGUGUCAUACCCUAAUUUAGAACAAGGUUCGGACAAGUUGCAAAGCCGGAUGAUCUUUUGGUUACCGGUACGAUGUCCCCCCUUCCCCCGGCUCGAGUUGUCCGCUCGGGUAAGCCAGGUCUAGAAUAAUACACCCAGGUUUUAAACUUAGAAUAACACAGCCUCAUACCAGAUCCCUAGUAGGAACGCUUGUUUGCAUCAUGUGCAUUGGGGUUGGAUCCGUCUAGGACAGGUGUACCCGAAAAUAAAAAGACCAACCUGAUGCAUUUUUACGUGCUACCUGUGCAUUCAUUUGUUUUGGCUUGCAUGUUGACCGGCUUCUAGAUUAGGUAAGAAAAGUCAAAGAAAAACCAAAAAUAAGGUAGGAUAGAGAAAUUACCCGCCUUUGAAAAAAUCUAGUGUUCAAAAUAUCCCGAAACUCUGCCGAAAUUUUGAAAAAAAAAGAGAUUUUUGAAGAAAAAAAAGUUAGUCCAAAAUGGUUUCUGUUUUUCUCGUCGCGUCCAAACUAGCCGAACUACGCGGGUUUGAUUCUCACCGGAUGUGAGAUACGUAGGCAAUCCUCAUCGGGUCCAGCCCCACUUUUGAAAAUUUUGAAAAAAUAUGAAGUGUCGUCAUUUUUGUCGUAAAUAAAGUGGGUGAUGCCGUUUUUGUCUUAAUAGCCAAUGUCCCAACGGGACGCCGAAAGGCCAUUUUUGCAAGAAUAGCCAUCGACGAUUUCUUUGACAAUUUUGGGCCACAUAGCAAAACAGCCCUAAAAUCUACCCUUGUGAAGUGCUGAAGGGCCGUAUUUGCAAAAGUAGCCUUGAUUUAUUUGAAUUUUUGAAAAGUGAACCUUUCUUUUUAAUCAGCUUUCGAAUAAAAACUCACUUUGUUUUAAACCAACCACCCUAAUCUAAAUGUGCAGAUUGAGCACGAGUCAAAAUUUACCAAUGAAGGUUAUGUACAAGAUUCCGUUGGAACUACACAUGUGGUGGGAAAAUUAGGGUAAGCAAGGACGAGACCUGGUCAACCAUUAUUUGGGAGCGCUCACUGGAUUACAUAAGAUCAGGCCUAGGGGAAACAUAAUAAAGGCACUGGUGAUAUUUUGGGACCCAACUCACAACGUUCUGCAUUUCUCGGACUUCGAACUCACACCCACUUUGGAGGAGAUAGCUGAUUAUGCUGGGAGUACCGAGGGUCUAAGACAUAAAUACAUGGUCGCUCCAAGGGCCAUCACCUCUCACAAGUUUUUGGAUUUGCUAAAAAUAAGCAGGCAGCUCUAGUAUGUAGAUUUGGCGGAUGGGUUUUCCACUCUAUACUUCAUAUACCAGCGGUACAGGCAUGUAAGAGGAUUUGACAACCCAGAAAGUGGAGUCUGUAGUAAAGGGAACCGAUCAAAGUGGGAAGAGCAUAGAUGUUUCGCUUUCAUGGUGGCAUUCUUGGGCCUUCUAGUAUUUCCCAUGAAGGACGGGAAUAUUGAUCUACGGGUAGCUGGAGUUGUCAACGUUUUGAUUAUCAAUGCCAAGAGCACCCUCGCCCCUAUGAUAGUAUUUGAGAUAUUUCGAGCUCUCACGGCUUGCAAAGCCGGAGCAGAUUUUUUCGAAGGGUACAAUUUGUUGCUACAAAUGUGGAUGAUUGAGCACCUGUGUCAUCGGCCUCCAUAUAUGAAUUACGGAUCUACAAGGAAAAGCUGCAUUGAGGAGUUCAGCACAAGGGUCUCGGGGUUCAAAAUGCCUUGAAGGGGUCGGAGAUUGGAUAUCCCACCUUCAUUCCAUAGCUGCAGGGCAGAUAGAAUGGAUACUAGGUUGGCUUCCUGUUGAAGAAAUUGUGUACAUGCCUGCCACCGGUCCUUACUUCCUCCUAAUAAGCCUUCGGGGCAUCCAGCCUUAUGCCCCAUACCGGGUGUUGAAACAGUUGGGAAGAUGCCAGGUAGUUCACCAGGAUGAAGAUCUUAGUGUUCAUGCAGUUGAAAUCAGUUUUGAUGGCCAAUUUCAUGAAGAAGUGGUUCGUCAUAUUUUGAACGAGUGCCAAUAUUUGACAGCAAACACUCGAGUACGUGACUUGUCUAAAGGCGAGGUCUUGCCUGGUUACCUUGCUUGGUUUAGAAAGAAGGUCACUGCAAGGGUCGAACCCGAAAGGCCGACCAAACGGCCUCACAUUCAGGAAUUUAUUGAAGCGUCGCAAGAAUAAUGGGCCUGGUUGACCAAAGAAAACGAGUAUAGGGCCACUAUAAGCAAGUUGAAAAAGCAAGUUAGAGAUCUUCAAUUUGAGAGUGGUUUGCAAGCCGCUGCAGACGAGGGUGAAAAUAAAAGGUUAGCCCAAGAAAAUGAACCCCUCUGAGCCCAAAUCCAGAAGAUGAAAAUAGCAGCUGAGAACCCUGCCAGAAAUGGAAAAU